ACAUAAUACCAAUAAUUAAACAUCAAAUUUACUAGGAUCGUAAAAGAAACUUAUGCAACAGAACCAAAAAUCUAAUUCGACAACCCAAUAAACUUCAAUCAACAAUGCUGAUCUUUAACACAAUUUAUAGCUCAAAAUUUGCCCUACAGAAGUAAAACCUGAAUUUUACCAAUUGACUAUUUUAUUUGAGAAAAACCAAAUUCAACAGUCCAAUACUUGGUCUACAAGACCAAAACUCUGUAAUCCAGCCAACAAUGUAGGUCCAUUGACACACAAACGCACACAAAACGAAGCCAUUAUUCUUUACUCCACCAAAUAGAGACUUCAAUUCAACAUUUUCUUACCUCGACCAUCUCCUCCGUUG
rnacentral:misc_RNA from 1 species